rnacentral:misc_RNA from 1 species
UAUCUCUUAUCGUCCUCAUUCUGCAACUGAAAAAGCAGAGCUCCGAUAACUGAUUCUACAUUAGGAAAUGCCCGUAGAGGUAGAGAAUUGAGGUAAGGUACUUCAAUGGCGAUUGUGUCUUCUCUGCCAGGUCUCAACCUCUUCUCUUCACUCCCAUCAAACCCACCACGAAACGACCCUACAGCAUCUACCUCUCCUCCCCAACCACCCAUACCCAUUCCCAAAUACCCUCCUCCUCUCAAAAAAUCCAAAAAUCCUCAAACUGCGCCUUCCUCCCCAGCCUUCAAGCUCCCCCACCGUCGAACCAAGUACUACAAGCCAGUGAAAGACGGCGUCGUGUCAUCAGAGGGCGACCGCUCAGUCCUUGUUGGUGAGAAUGGUGUCUCCUAUCUCCUUCCAGGGGCUCCGUUCGAGUUCCAGUAUAGCUACUCCGAGACUCCUAAAGUCAAGCCGGUUGCCAUCCGCGAGCCAGCUUUCUUGCCGUUCGCGCCUCCCACGAUGCCAAGACCGUGGACGGGGAAAGCCCCGUUGAAGAAGUCGAAGAAAAAGAUCCCGCUUUUCGGUUCGUUUAAUGUUCCUCCACCUGAUAAAGAAGGGGCGAAGUACGUGGAAAUGGCUGUUGCCUUCCCGUUGCGGAAGUCUCCAGAGGAAGGGAAAUCGAGAAGGGAGAUACUCGGGGAACCCUUGAAGAAAUGGGAAAUUAAAAUGCUCAUUAAGCCUCUCUUGUCUGAUAAUCGCCAGGUUAAUCUCGGGAGGGAUGGACUGACACAUAAUAUGUUGGAGUUGAUACAUACACAUUGGAAAAGGACGCCUGUGUGUAAAGUUCGUUGUAAGGGCAUUCCGACGGUGGAUAUGGAUAAUGUUUGCCGUCAUUUGGAGGUGUGCUUGAUUGCUUAUCACCACUACACUCUAGUUAUUCUAGGCAAUAGAUGCUUGCAUAAUAUUGUUUAUUUAAAGUGUUACUAAAAUAUGGUGAUUAUUUCAUUCAUUGUAACUUAAGUUUGAUGAUGAAUAUUCUACGCUGUGCCUAUGUAAUUUCUUUGAGGCAUAAUGCUAGGAAAAAACUGGAGGAGUCGUCAUUCAUAGAGUUGGCGGUGUAGUAUUCCUUUUUCGUGGCAGACACUAUAACCAUCGAACUCGUCCACAAUACCCAAUUAUGCUCUGGAAACCAGCAGCUCCUGUUUACCCAAAACUUAUCCAAGAAGCUCCUGAAGGAUUGACAAAAACUGAAGCUGAUGAAUUUCGGAAGAAAGGAAAGAAUCUUUUGCCAAUAUGUAAAUUAGCCAAAAAUGGAGUUUACAUUACCUUGGUGAGAGAUGUUAGGACUGCUUUUGAAGGAAGUCCAUUGGUGAAGAUUGACUGCAAAGGGAUGAAUCCAAGUGAUUACAAGAAGUUGGGUGCUAAGCUUAAGGAACUGGUUCCGUGUGUGCUAUUGUCUUUUGAUGAUGAGCAGAUAUUAAUGUGGAGGGGUCAAAACUGGAAAUCAAUGUAUCCAGAAGUUCCUUCAGUUUCAAUUCCUGUUGAAGUUGAUAUUACAAAUGGUUCAGAUGA